rnacentral:rRNA from 1 species
UACGUAGGGUGCGAGCGUUGUCCGGAAUUAUUGGGCGUAAAGAGCUCGUAGGCGGCUUGUCGCGUCGGAUGUGAAAGCCCGGGGCUUAACUCCGGGUCUGCAUUCGAUACGGGCAGGCUAGAGUUCGGUAGGGGAGAUCGGAAUUCCUGGUGUAGCGGUGAAAUGCGCAGAUAUCAGGAGGAACACCGGUGGCGAAGGCGGAUCUCUGGGCCUUACCUGACGCUGAGGAGCGAAAGCGUGGGGAGCGAACAGG